UACGUAGGUGGCGAGCGUUGUCCGGAUUUACUGGGCGUAAAGGGCGUGCAGGCGGUUUGUUAAGUGCAGAGUGAAAGCUCCCGGCUCAACUGGGAGAGGUCUUUGCAUACUGGCAAACUCGAGGGAGGCAGAGGAAAGUGGAAUUCCCGGUGUAGUGGUGAUAUGCGUAGAUAUCGGGAGGAACACCUGUGGCGAAGGCGGCUUUCUGGGCCUUACCUGACGCUGAGACGGCGAAAAGCGUGGGGAGCGAACCGG
rnacentral:rRNA from 1 species